rnacentral:lncRNA from 1 species
CUGUUUUUGCGCAGCGCCCUCGAUCUGCCAACCAAUCGCUGAGGAGCACCACCCACCGGGCCGCCGCCAAUUGGCCAGCCCGGCUGUCAGGCAGGCGCGUCACUCGGCAGCCGGGAGGGGGCGGGACGCAACCCGGGCCGGGGCGGGAGGCCGGGGUGAGUGUGAGUGUGAGAGCGAGAACAGCCCGGCAGGUCCCGAGGCGCGGGCUGGGGACUGUGCCGCGGAAAGUUCCCAGUCCCCAGCCGCAGGUAAACGCAGAGGGAAUAGACAGAGGCUCCCCCGUUUGCAUCAGCAAAUGCGAAAACAUAAUAGCAACAGCAGCGGCAUCCUCUCUCCGGAGCGGGGUUUCCAAUGACGCUAACAUUCUUUUUCCUUUAAGUACAGAACGGUCCCCUGCGGCUUCCCGCUAAUGGAUGACCCGAGAGUGACACCGCCACAACCUGCGAGAAAAGGAGAGCCCCUUCCCCGCCCCGAGAUCUGCGGGAUUGAAAUGAAAAAUCUUGAGCUCUUCCAGCUGACUCAUCAGAAUCCUGGAGCAAUUUUUUUUUUUUUUAAUGACGGGCCGAAUGUUGUGCUCUUCAGCUCUACUUCUCAAAGCAAGAAAAAGAACUUCUCAAACAAAUCUGUGAGAAACAGCAGAAAUUGUGCUCUUCCCACAACGUGAGGCCCUCAAAUAGAGAACAGUGGUCUUCACCUGGGAAGCAUCCUGGGAGCACCUGGGAACUCAAUGGUGGCAACAGAUGGAGAUUCUGGAAGGGGAAAUCGAGGUUUGAAACUUUUGGACCUCUCUUGACUGCAACGUGAGUUCCUUUUGACACUGAUGUGGGAGGAAGGGAAUUUAGAUUGCUAGCCUCUCAACCUAUCCCUCAUUACCAGAAUUAGAAAAAUUUCCCAAUUUUUGGUGCUGAGAUUCCCAGAAACUCUUAAAAGGUUUCUUUCAGUGAGAGAGUCCUAAAAUAACAGCCUGUUUUUCAGAUUCCAAGUGGAGAGUAUUUCUAACAUGCAUAGGUAGCUUUGACAAUGUCCUCUGUGAAAAACUAAGUUAAUGGUUGUUUUUAUGGUUAUUUCUUAUUGAAAUUUAUAUUAAAAUUUGUCUAAAAGGUUUUUGUUUUUUCACUCAGUUAUGCUUUAAUAUAUCGCUUUUUAUUUAACUUUUUGUGGAAUUAAAUAUAUGAUAUUCAUCUCUGAAAGUUAAAAAAAGGAGGUAAAUAUCACCCUAGAGCACAUGAUUUAUUUAUUUUAAAAUUUUUAUUGAUCUUUGUCAUGAUUCUUUUUAAUAGCACACCUGAAUUAAUCUUGGCUGGGAAAAUUCAUUUACAAUUUUAUAAUAAACGCCCCAUUAAAAAAGUGCUUUUUUUUUUUUUUUCCCUCAC